AUGAGAUUAAAGAAAGCGAAUUGCGAGGUGGAGAAAUGGAGGCGGCGAGGAAUAUCGGAGGAGAAGGUGAAGGAGGAGGCCUGGUGGAGAGGGGAGGUUGCACGCCUGGAAGAACUACUUCAUAUCAAGUGGAGGCAAAGGGCACAUGUUUGGUGGCUGAAGGAGUGGGGGAGGAAUACAAAAUUUCUGCAUAAAUGUGCCACAGCAAGGAAGAAGAACAAUAAAUUGAAGGAGUUGAGGAGGGAGGAUGGCUCGAUGGUGGCGGAGGGACCCGAGAUGACUAAUUAUCUGUUCAAACACGGCUACAUCUGGAGAAUUGGUAACGGCCAUAAUGUGAGCAUUUGGGAUGACCCCUGGCUGCCAAAAGCCUGGACUCGACGGGUGCAGACGCCAAGGAACGGGAUCCUGCUCAGCAAGGUGCACGAGCUCAUAAACCCGAUCACAGGUGCUUGGGAUGAACCCCUAGUUCGGGACAUCUUUGUCCCAGAAGAUGCCAACCUCAUACUUGCGAUUCCCCUACGGGACGACAUGCAAGAUUUCAUCGCCUGGCAUUAUGAUGAGAAAGGGCUGCACUCUGUGAAACAGGCGUAUAAGCUGCAAGUUAAGGUGCAGGAAAUAGCAAGUGGGUCAGAGGCAGGCAUGAGCGUGGAGAUUCAGGGCUCGCUCGAUGCAUGCGAGAGUACUUUUUGGAGCAGAAUUUGGAAGAUGCCGUGCCAGCACAAAGUUAGAAUGUUCACCUGGAGGGUGGCUCAUAACUCCCUAGCUACGCGGGCUAAUCUGGUAGCUCGAGGGAUGGAACUUGAGGACACCCGAUGCCUGUUCUGCAACAGAAACACCGAGGAUGGUGGCCACCUCUUUAUACGUUGCAAGGCUGUGAAGGAGGUGUGGCGAGCUCUGGGAAAAGAGGGAGUCAGAAUGGCUAUGCAGAACUUUGACGCUGUGGGGGAUGUUAUGGAUCACUUGUGGUCGCUGCCAAUGGAAGACAGAGUGCAGAUCUUGUAUUUCUGGUGGGAGUGGUGGAACGAGAGGAAUAGGCUGAGGAAGAACGAGGGAAGAACCCGGCCGGAGGAGAUAGUGCAUCGGGCUCGGACUGCUACCACGGAAUACUGGGAUAUAGUCGGCAAGCAGAACCACAGCAAACCGAAGGAGAAAACGCAGUGGCGACCGCCGGAAGUGGACGUGCUGAAAUUCAACUUUGAUGGUGCGUUUGUGCCGGGAGGCAACCAAUCUGCAUGGGGAGUGAUUGCGAGGGACCACACAGGAGACGUCGUUGCAUGCAUGGCGGGAAAGUGCGAGCACAUCAACGAUGCCUUUGCAGCUGAAUUACAAGCGGCGGCUGGCGCAAUGGAGCUAGCAACCCAUCUGGGGGCGAUCCGGAUCUGCCUGGAGACGGACUCACAGCUGUUGCAGUCGGCGCUACUGCAGAAGGAGCCAAGCUUCUCGGCGUACGCCUCUGUUCUGGACGACCUAAAGACCAAAAUGAGCCUAUGGUUCUCAAAGUGUGAUGUUAUGGCGUGUAGGAGGGAAGCCAACGCUGCUGCGCAUGAACUUGCUAAGCUAGGACUAGAAAAGUCACAAGUAAAGUUCACUCGGGUCCUGGCGAGCUUCGGGUUGGACCGAUGGGUUCCCCCAUUGUUUAUGAGGGAAAGUAGGGCAAAAACCAAACAAAUAAGAAAAAGGGAAAAACCAACACCGACGCCGACCAAGCUAGACCACCACCACCAAUGUGACCGCCACCCGAGAGUACCGGACAGAAUCUUGCAAAACGCCUGCAAGGUAGAAAUGUCUAUGGAUGCCAUCGUCAUCAAUAUCGCCCUCCGUCAAAAGCCAAGCUUUCGCCCUGAACUACACACAACAAUUCAGCCCACCUCAGGGAAGAGUCCAGCCACACCAAUUAGCUACCAUGUCAACCUCAUCUCCUAG
rnacentral:rRNA from 1 species